rnacentral:misc_RNA from 1 species
CCCUUCACCAACUUUGUCUUCAUGUCCACAGGAGUCAGCCUACCAAACCCAGCCUCUCCUUCUCCAUUAACCUCUUCAAUCUUCUCAACACUACUGACACUUUUUAAUAUCCCCAAUUUCUUCCACCUAAAAAACCCUUUCUUCUUCUCCACCAUCCUCUCCAUUUGCAUUUGCAUGGCAUAGCAUUGCCCUUGCAGCCUAAGUACAUCUUCUCUUAAUUUCUUUAUCUCCAUUUGUUGAGCAUUCAUUUCCCGUUUCGAAAAGCACCUUCCAGGAGGGUCGAAGCCUGGGUUUGGGCUCCUCGUACCACUAAACGAACCACUCCAAUCGACGUGUCGAUUGAGCUUGUUUUGUUCAGAGAAGAGAACCUGGAUGACAGCACGAACAGGCAGCCUUUCAUUCUGAGCAGCAUGGAGUGAAGCCUCAGGGGAGAGCUUCCUGCUAUCAAUUAAUCUGCAAAGAAUCUUCCUUUCUUGCUUUGUCGCUCCAGGAUGCGCUUUGAGAUAGGUAUCAAUGGCUCGGUAUAAACCAUCAUCAAUGGCUCGA